rnacentral:rRNA from 1 species
CCGGCGACCGGCGCACGGGUGAGUAACACGUAUGCAACCUGCCCUCUUCAGGGGGACAACCUUCCGAAAGGGAGGCUAAUCCCGCGUAUAUCGGUUUCGGGCAUCCGAGAUCGAGGAAAGACUCAUCGGAAGAGGAUGGGCAUGCGGCGCAUUAGCUAGACGGCGGGGUAACGGCCCACCGUGGCGACGAUGCGUAGGGGUUCUGAGAGGAAGGUCCCCCACACUGGUACUGAGACACGGACCAGACUCCUACGGGAGGCAGCAG